UCCAGCUCCAGCCUGCAGGCAACAUUGAGGCUCCUAUCUUAAAAAAAAAAAAGAAAUUCUAGCUCUCUAGCCUGCGUCCUGUGUCUAUGGUCAGGCCAUCUGCGUCCAGCUGCCUGGGACCGAGCUCGGGUGUAUGGGGCCUCAGGAACUGGCUCUGGGGCCCCGAUAACAGGCCACCCCCACAGCACCCCGGCCUGGCAUGAGGGUCUCCCUUGAUCUGAGAAUGGUUACCUCUCGAUAUGAGCCAGUGGCUGAAAUUGGUGUUGGUGCCUAUGGGACAGUGUGCAAGACCCGUGAUCCCCACAGUGGCCACUUUGUGGCCCUCAAGAGUGUGAGAGUCCCCAAUGGAGGAGUUGGAGGAGGCCUUCCCGUCAGCACAGUUCGUGAGGUGGCCUUACUGAGGUGACUGGAGGCUUUUGAGCAUCCCAACGUUGUCCGGCUGAUGGAUGUCUGUGCCACAUCCCGAACUGACUGAGAGAUCAAGGUAACCCUGGUGUUUGAGCAUGUAGACCAAGAUCUAAGGAUGUAUCUGGACAAGGCACCCCCACCAGGCUUGCCAGCCGAUACCAUCAAGGAUCUGAUGCCAGUUUCUAAGAGGCCUAGAUUUUCUUCAUGCCAGUUGCAUCGUUCACCGAGAUCUAAAGCGAGAGAACAUUCUGGUGACAAGUGGUGAACAGUCAAGCUGGCUGACUUUGGCCUGGCCAGAAUCUACAGCUACCAGAUGGCGCUUACACCCGUGGUUGUUACACUCUGGUACCAAGCUCCUGAUGUUCUUUUGCAGUCCACAUAGGCAACACUCGUGGACAUGUGGAGUGUUGGCUGUAUCUUUGCUGAGAUGUUUCAUUGAAAGCCUCUCUUCUGUGGAAACUCUGAAGCUGACCAGUUGGGCAAAAUCUCUGACCUGAUUGGGCUGCCUCCAGAGAAUGACUGGCCUCGAGAUGUAUCCCUGCCCCAUGGAAUCUUUCACCCCAGAGGGCCGCACCCAGUGCAGUCGGUGGUACUUGAGAUGGAGGAGUUGGGAGCACAUCUGCUGGUGGAAAUGCUGACUUUUAACCCACACAAGCCAAUCUCUGCCGUUCGAGCUCUGCAGCACUCUUAUCUACAUGAGGAAGGUAAUCUACAUAAGGAGUGAGCAAUGAAGUGGCUGCCAUGGAAGGAAGAAAAGCUGCCGUUUCCCUUCUGGACACUGAGAGGGCAGUCUCUACCUUCGUCCCUGAGGUUGUAGAGGCCCCACCUCCAUCUAUCUACAGAGAUUACUUUGCUGCCUUAAUGACAUUCCCCUCCUACCUCUCCUUCUGAGGCCUCUCCUUCUGUCCCCCUAUUUCUCAAACACUAAGGGGUAUAUUCCUCGUGUCCCUUUACCUACAUUUAUAUUGGGGGUCUUUUUUUAUAAAGAAAAAAAAAUUCUAACUUCUAAGAGCUGUUUCUUGUUUUCUGAUUGUUUCAUUUAACACUAUGCUUAUCUCUGGAAGCCUUUGAUUUAUCCUCUGAGAAUAAUAAUUUUAUUAAAAACUAUUCAGGGCAUUAUUUGUUUCGCUUAAGAUCUCUUUCUCUUGUUAUCUGAAAUUUGCUUUCCUCUCUGACGCCUUUCUCUUUUAUCCUUGGAUGUUCUUUCAUAUUUAACCUGUUAUUGGGUAGCUUCACUGGGAGUCACUAGGUAGAAGGGCAUUUAUUUUGUUGGGAUAGCUACAUAUCAGUCUGAUACUGCGUCUUAUAGUUUAUGCUAAGUGGUUCUCCACAAGUUUCCUUGGUUCUCCUGGCUGAUAAUGUUUGCACAGAGGACAGACGAAAGGGGGCUGGAACUGUUAGAAAUAGAAUUAUAAUGAAUUCUGUUUUCAGCUGUCACUCAUACUCACAACUGCACAUGAUGUCCUGGGCCAUGGGUGAAUCCUUUGAACUUAAUGCAGAGAAUGUCUUGUGAGCAGAUAUGUGGAGAUGUGCGUAUGCAGUUUUUCAACCUUUUUGUUAAGUGGCACCUUACCUUCAUCAUUCAUUGCAUGUGGUGUCAUAGUUCUGAGUCCUUCCUGGAUUCCCUGGGGCAGACUGGUUUGUUGCCUUUGCCCUCUGAAAUAAAUUAACUACUUCUCCACCUACUUUUGUCUCCCAAACUUCUUCAGCUGUCUAAUGGAGAUAAUACUACAUAAUACCUUACAAAGCUGUUGUGUAGAUUAAACGAAUUUAUAUAUGUAAUAUGCAUAGCGCAGCACCUGGCAUGGAGUAAUCAUUCUAUAAAUGGUAGUUAUUAGUAUUAUACAAUUUCUCAAUAUCCCUGACAGUACUGGUCAUAUUAAUUACCUGGGUAGUGAUGCCAAUAAAAAUCGCUACUGCUGCUUUUGUGGAAUUGAUAAUUUAUUUGUAUUCAUUUUAGCAAAAUAAAAAGUUGAGAGAAAUGAAAUAAAUUCAUGCUUUAAUCCUGCCAUUACAGUGUCUUAAUUGUUAGAAAUUUGUGAUAAAUUAUAACAUCUGAUAGUUAAUCAUUAUUGAAUAUUCUUUUUCAGGAAUAUUUUGACUGUUUUCAUACCUUAGUCCAGAAGAGUUUUACAGUCAUUUUUGACUGGUUUUCUCUAAUCUCCUUCACCCUUAAAAUACUCUUUAAGAUUUUGAUUACAAUUAUAUUUAAGUAAUUUUCAAAUCUGGGGAGAAGUUAUAUAUUCAUAAAACUUAUUUUUUCAAACCAAGAACAAGGUCAGCUUAACAUAUACUUUUUCUUUCUCCUCAGUAAAUAUUUGCAUUUUUUUCAUGUAGGCCCUACAUACUAAUUUAAUUUCUAUGUAUUUUAUAUGUUCAUAUUUUACAUGUUGCUACUAUAAAUGGGACAUAAUUUUAUUUUUAUUUUUGACUAUUGCUUUAUAGAAAAAAUAUAUUUAUGUAUUUCUUUUUAAAUGUCCAAAUUACUUUUUUGAUUUAAGUAUGUUUUUUGGGUAGGGGAAAAAGUUUCUUUUCCAAAUAAUGAUCAUUUUACUUUCUCUUCUAAUAUUUUUGACUAGUAUUCUUUUUCUUAUCUCAUGGCAUUGCUUAUUACUUGAGAAAUAGUGGACUUCAGAAGUAGUGGUUAUAAAUAUGUUUAUUUUAUCCUUCACUUGAAUAGGAAUGUCUUUAGGGUUGUUAUGUCUGAUACUUGUUGACUGCAUAUAAGACAUUCUUUAAACAAGUUUCCUACUGACUUGUGUUUUGCUUUUGCUGCUUUAAGCUAGAAUGUCCCAGGAAGUACACACACAAUUUCUCUCACACAUACAACUCUCAUAGUACACUCAUGAAAAGAAAACAGUUAUUUGAGAUUCUAAUAUCUGGGACCUUUGUGGUAGUCAAUCAAGCUCUAUCCUCAGAGGAAAAAAAAAAUGGACACUUGGAUUUAAAAGUGGCAGGAUCCAGAGGCAAAAAGAAGAGGAAAGGAAACAAACAAGAAGAGAUUCUAUAUCUUUGGAAUUAUGUGGCACAAAUUCCUGGUACCACUUUCAGGUUCAUUUGCUUUCUAUAUGAUUCCAUUUUAUGAUCACACUAGUGUGGAGACUGUAACCCAUGAUUUAAAAAAAUCUACUUGGCAUUAUUUUAUUCUAUUAGUAUGAAUUAAGCUGAACUUGUGAACAGUGAUUGCUGUAUCAUAAAUUCAAAAGUUAUUGAAUAGGUGGGACUGUUUGCUCCUGUACCAAACAGUCCUGACUGUGUUACUUCUCUGUUUCAAAUAUUUGUUUUCUACCCUGAAUUUUCCAGCUGUUAUCUUUUCCUGAAACUUUGAGUAUACUUGCUUCCAGUAAAUCUCCCCUAUCUCUACUAAUCUGCUGCUUCUGGUCAUGUCAGACUCAGUUAUGCAAUAAACCCGUUUAAUGUAACUAAAUCUAAAGAAUAAAUUGGGUAUGUUAUAGGAUCUGAGUAUAACACCCGUGAAUAAUUCAGAGUAAUUUUCAUGUAAUGAUAAAAUUAUUUUGGCUCCCAGCUGGCUAGUAAAAAGUAAUUAUUUUAACUAA